rnacentral:rRNA from 1 species
ACUCCUACGGGAGGCAGCAGUGGGGAAUUUUGGACAAUGGGCGCAAGCCUGAUCCAGCCAUUCCGCGUGCAGGAUGAAGGCCCUCGGGUUGUAAACUGCUUUUGUACAGAACGAAAAGCUCUGGGUUAAUACCCUGGGGUCAUGACGGUACUGUAAGAAUAAGCACCGGCUAACUACGUGCCAGCAGCCGCGGUAAU